rnacentral:rRNA from 1 species
UUAAAAGUCAAGUAAAGUAUAUAAUGGAUGCCUAGGUUUUGAUAGACUAUGAAGGACGUGAUAAACUGCGAUAAGUUGCGAGUAUUUGUAAGAUAAAGUUAAUUCGCAAAUUUCCGAAUGGGGGAACCUGUUAUAUAGAAGAUAUAACAUUAUUUUUUUUAUAAAAAAUAAAGAUAACCUGAUGAACUGAAACAUCUUAGUAAUCAGAGGAAAAUAAAACAAAAGUGAUUUCGUUAGUAGUGGCGAGCGAAAGCGAAAAAGUCUAAACUAUUAUAGUAAAACUAUUAAUAGGGUUAUAGGACUAUGAUAUUUUUUUUUAAAAAGUAUAUUAGAAAUAUUUGGAAAAAUAUACCAUAGAUGGUGAUAGUCCAGUAUAUUAAAUAUUUUUUAAAAAAAAAAAUAGAAUCCUAAGUAAGGCGGGACACGUGAAAUCCUGUCUGAAUUUACCGGGACCAUCUGGUAAGACUAAAUACUACUCAGAGACCGAUAGUGAACUAGUACCGUGAGGGAAAGGUGAAAAGAACUUCGAAUAGAAGAGUGAAAUAGAUCCUGAAAUUAUAUACUGACAAUCAGUCGAAGCUUUUUAUUUUUAUUUUUUUUAUAAAAAUAAAAAUAAUAAAGUUACGUCUUGCCUUUUGCAUAAUGAACCUACGAGUUAAUUUUACCGGCAAGGUUAAACAGUUAAGUUGUGUAGCCGAAGCGAAAGCGAGUUUUAAUAAAGCGUUUUAGUCGGUAGAAUUAGACGCGAAACCGAGUGAUCUACCCAUGGGCAGGUUGAAGCUAUGGUAACACAUAGUGGAGGACCGAACUGGUAAACGUUGAAAAGUUUUCGGAUGACUUGUGGAUAGGAGUGAAAGGCUAAUCAAACUCGGAGAUAGCUCGUACUCCCCGAAAUGCAUUUAGGUGCAGCAUCAUGUUAAAUAUUAUAGAGGUAGAGCAACUGAUUUGACAAAGGUGUUGAAAAACUUACUUAGUCUUAAUAAACUCCGAAUUCUAUAAUAUAUUUCAUAGUAGUGAGGAUGUGGGUGCUAAGAUCCAUAUCCAAAAGGGAAACAACCCAGAUCAUCAGUUAAGGUCCCUAAAUAUAUACUAAGUUGAAUUAAACGAAGUUAUAUUGCAUUGACAGCUAGGAUGUUAGCUUGGAAGCAGCUAUUCAUUUAAAGAGUGCGUAACAGCUCACUAGUUUAGCGAUUUAGCGCGGAUAAUAAUCGGGCAUAAGUAUAUCGCCGAAGCUAUGAAUUUAUAAAUUUUAAUUUAUAAAUGGUAGGGGAGCAUUGUAAUAACGUUGAAGCUAAAUUGAGAAAUUUAGUGGAGUUUUUACAAAAGAAAAUGUAGGUAUAAGUAACGAUAAUGCAGGCGAGAAACCUGCACACCGAAAGACUAAGGAUUCCUCAGCUAUGUUAAUCAACUGAGGGUUAGUCGGGGCCUAAGGUAAAACCGAAAGGUGUAACCGAUGGAUAAUCGGUUAAUAUUCCGAUACUUGUAUAUUAUAAUAUGAUGGGUGGACGAAGUAGUGAAACUAUUGCGUAAUAAUGGAUUGUUACGUUGAAAUAUAAAGGAAUAAAAAAUAUAGUUAAAUGCGUAUUUUUUUCUGAAAUAUUAUAGUACUAUUAAUUUAGAAAAUAUAGGUAAUGACUUCCUAGAAAAGACUCUAAAUUUAAAUAUACAACCCGUACCAAAACCGACACAGGUAGUCAAGGAGAGUAUCCUAAGGUGCUCGAGUGAUUCACGGCUAAGGAACUAGGCAAAAUAGACUUGUAACUUCGGAAUAAAAGUUACCAUUAGGUUUAUAUAAGGUCUCAGUAAAAAGAUCCAGACGACUGUUUAUCAAAAACACAGGACUCUGCUAAAUCAAAAGAUGAUGUAUAGGGUCUGACACCUGCCCGGUGCUGGAAGGUUAAAUGCGAUUGUUAAUAAAAUUGUAUUAUAAUUUUAAUUAUUAAUUUAAUUAUUAUUAUUUUACUUUUUAUAAAGCUUUCAAAUGAAGCCCCAGUAAACGGCGGCCGUAACUAUAACGGUCCUAAGGUAGCGAAAUUCCUUGUCGGGUAAGUUCCGACCUGCACGAAUGGUGUAACGAUCUGGAUACUGUCUCAGCCGUGAGCUCGGUGAAAUUGUAGUAUCGGUGAAGAUACCGGUUACUCGCAAUGGGACGAAAAGACCCUGUGAACCUUUACUAUAACUUCGUAUUGAUUUUGGGUAAAUAAUGUGUAGGAUAGGUGGAAGACUUUGAAGCAUUAUCGUCAGGUAAUGUGGAGUCAAAAAUGAAAUACCAAUCUUUGUUUUUUAAAAAUCUAACUUGAUAAAAAGGACAAUGCGUGGUGGGUAGUUUGACUGGGGUGGUCGCCUCCUAAAAAGUAACGGAGGCUUCCAAAGGUACCCUCAUCACGUUUGGUAAGCGUGUGUUGAGUGCAAUGGCAUAAGGGUGCUUGACUGUGAGACCUACAAGUCGAUCAGGUACGAAAGUAGGGCAUAGUGAUCCGGUGGUCUUUAUGGAAAGGCCAUCGCUCAAAGGAUAAAAGGUACUCCGGGGAUAACAGGCUAGUCUCCCCCAAGAGCUCAUAUCGACGGGGAGGUUCGGCACCUCGAUGUCGGCUCGUCACAUCCUGGGGCUGUAGAAGGUCCCAAGGGUUGGGCUGUUCGCCCAUUAAAGUGGCACGCGAGCUGGGUUCAGAACGUCGUGAGACAGUUCGGUCUCUAUCUAUUGCGAGCGUUAGAAGCUUGAGUGGAGCUAACUCUAGUACGAGAGGACCGAGUUGGACGAACCUAUGGUAUAUCAGUUGUAUCGCCAGGUGCAUUGCUGAGUAGCUACGUUCGGAAGAGAUAAGCACUGAAAGCAUAUUAAGUGCGAAACCAACCACAAGAUUAGGCUUCUUUUAAGGGUCGUUGAAGAUUACAACGUUGAUAGGCUAUAAGUGUACAAAUAGUAAUAUUUUAAGCUAAUUAGUACUAAUUAUCCGUAGACUAAAA